rnacentral:tRNA from 1 species
GGUUGUAGUUCAGUGGUAGAGCACUUGCCUAGCAAGUGUGAGACACUGGGUUUGAUCCUCAGCACCA